rnacentral:rRNA from 1 species
GAUGAACGCUAGCGACAGGCCUAACACAUGCAAGUCGAGGGGCAGCACAUGCGAAGCAAUACAAUGGUGGCGACCGGCGCACGGGUGAGUAACACGUAUGCCACCUACCUGUAAGAGGGGAAUAACCCGGAGAAAUUCGGCCUAACACCGCAUAAGACCUAGAAGCUGCAUGGCUAGGAGGUUUACUAUUUAUAGCUUACAGAUGGGCAUGGGUAACAUUAGAGAGGUGGUGAGGUAACGGCUCACCAAGUCAACGAUGUUUAGGGGUUCUGAGAGGAAGGUCCCCCACCAUGGUACUGAGACACGGACCAGAAUCCUACGGGAGGCAGGAGUGAGGAAUAUGAGUCAAGGGGCGAGAGCCUGAACCAGCCAAGUCGCGUGAAGGAAGAAGGUUCUAUGGAUUGUAAACUUCUUUUGUAAGGGAAUUAAAAAGCUUACGUGUAGGCUAUUGUAUGUACUUGACGAAUAAGGAUCGGCUAACUCCGUGCCAGCCGCCGCGGUAAGAC